rnacentral:lncRNA from 1 species
AUGUCUCCAAUGCAGGCCUGGGCGCCACAGGGGGCAUGGGGCGCAGGGCACGGGGCUGGGCAUUGCUGCUCUGGGACAAGUGCUUGCUCCCUCGGCCCCCGCCCCCGCCAGGACUCGGGGCUGCCACGCAGCAGGAGGGCGCGGGCCUUGGGCGAGCAGUGGCAGCACCUGGCAAAGCCCCCAGAGGGCUGUGCCCACCCCUGGCCCCUACCCGAGGCACUGGCUCCGCACUCAGGGAGCCCGUCCCAGCAGCCAGGGCGCCUCAGGUCAGGAGCGUCAGGGUGUUUAGACCCCGGAUUAGAAGCCACUUCUCUGUGGCAGGGACUACGACGCGGGCGAGGGCCUGGGCGUAUCUGGGGCGUGCUGAGGCCUGUCGAUGGCCUGCCAGGCUUCCUCCCAGUGGGCAGCGGGGAAUUCCAGAAGGAACGGCCACGAGAAGACGAUUCCGUAUCAGGAUCAGACCAGGAAAGCGUGCCCUCCUCGACUUUUGCAGCGAUUUACAAUUGGCAGGAGGCUGAAGGUGACAAGCGUCAGAACCCUCGUCCCCCCAGGGCCACAGGGAGGGUCCCUCGCGCUCAGAAGUUGGGAUGGAGUCGGGACGCAAGAGCACUUCCAGCAGGCGGGGAGCCGAGGGGAGCGGCGAGCCCGGGAAGCCCACAAGCCGGCCACGACCUCCCGGCCCCGCUCCGCGUCUUCACCGGCACAGCGGUGCCCCGGGGACGCACGUUCACGCCGCGGGACAGAGGCCCGGCAGGUGUGUGCCCCGGGGAGGAGCCUGCGCAGUGGCCAGGCGGCCCAGGCCGGCGGGCCCUCCACGUGGCCCUGCCACCGCGAGGCUGGCGUCCUUCGGCUGUCUUCCCUCCUGAGCUCAUGACGCCCUGGCACUUGGGGUUUGGCGUCCUAUGCGCGUCCACACCUGCCCUCAGGCUUCCUGGCGCGCCGCCAUCGGGCACAGUGACACGUGCUCCCGCCUCGGCUGCAGCUGGCCAUGUGCUGGGGCGGGGAUCCCACUUCUGGCUUCGAGAGUCAGUCGGUCCUCCCGCGCGGCCAGCUGGAAGGAGUCCCUUGGUGUCCAGGUCGCUCGGCACCUUCUCCCUGGUGACGGGACUCCAUCUGCUGUUGCCAAGACCGCUGGGAGCUCUCCUCGGAAACGUCCCCCGGCAGAGCCAGAUCGGGGUGCAGAGGCCACGGCUGGACCCCAGGGUGGCCCUCGCGGUCCCUGGAAAUCCCCAACAGCCCGGGGCCUCGUCUUCGCUGCCCCGGCAGGAUGUGGUCCACCAGGAAAGCUCUGGGACGCGGCGCCGUCCCGGCCGGGGCGAGCCCAAGCCCUGCGAGGGCCAGUUUCUCUCCUUUUCCCGCGUGACUCAGGCCGGGCGCCCUCCUGGAGGAGCACUAGCCGCUUCCUGCCGCCCUCACUGCCCCGGGAGGGGCCCAUCGCGCACCCAGGUCCCGCGUCAGCCUGGGGUGGGUGCACCCGCCUCGGGCACGGCUGGCGAGGCUGCAGACCACCCCCUCCCCGCCGGCCACCAGCCUGUUGUCACAGCUGGACGGCUCAGCACGCUCUCACGGGGCCCCGGGCGGCCCUCUAGGGCACCAGCGUCCACCUGCCUCCCACAGCGGGGCACGUCCGGGCCGUGGGAGCAGAGCGGGUGGCUCAGAGCAGGAGCCCAGAGGCCAAGAAAGGGUCUCACGCUCUGA